AGUUCUCCAUCCGCACUGGAAAACCUACCAGGCAUUCCCACAACGCUUUCUGUUUCCUGCAGCCUCCGUUUUUCGAGGAAGCCCUGUCGUGCACGAGAGGUCAGAUUGAUGGGGUGCCCCAGGCUCUGCGAGUUAAGUUGUUGGGCGCGGUGACUAUUACAGGAACGGCGGUGCCUUGAGUUAACUUCGUUAAUGCUCAGCUGGUGAGCACCCAUCGGAAAGUACCCAUCACAGAGGAACUUGGGAGCAAGCAGUGGACAAGAUGAUUCUGCCAGCGAAGGAGAGCCACUCUCCUUCCUCAUGCUCCGGAGCUGCCCACUGGGCUCGUGCGUGGAACUGCCGUGUGGUAGGCAUCGCGACUACAGCUGGGUCACCCGGCCUGACAGCUGCUCUUCCUGUCCAGUGCCUUCCAAGUCGUCUGCUUCCCACUCCUCAAAUAUCCGGGAUCCAGAGCAGGGGUCCUCAAACUACAGCCCUUCGGCCAAUCCAGCUGCCGCCUGAUUGUGUAUGGCCCCUGAGUAAGGAAUGGUUUUAGAAUUUUACAUAAUUUUGUUUA
rnacentral:lncRNA from 1 species